UACGGAGGAUGCGAGCGUUAUCCGGAUUUAUUGGGUUUAAAGGGUGCGUAGGCGGUCCGUUAAGUCAGCGGUAAAAUUGCGGGGCUCAACCCCGUCGAGCCGUUGAAACUGGCAGACUUGAGUUGGCGAGAAGUACGCGGAAUGCGCGGUGUAGCGGUGAAAUGCAUGGAUAUCGCGCAGAACUCCGAUUGCGAAGGCAGCGUACCGGCGCCAGACUGACGCUGAGGCACGAAAGCGUGGGGAUCGAACAGG
rnacentral:rRNA from 1 species